rnacentral:lncRNA from 1 species
CUCCAGGGGACGCAAACCUCGUCAUUGAAGAGAAGGGAAUAAGAAAAUAUCCAUGGUUUCUACUUGCUUUAUGGGAUUUCUUGUACAAGCAAGGAUAACCUGUGUAGAUUACCAAAAUGGAAACAUCCUGAAGCUGCUUUGA